UACGAAGGGAGCUAGCGUUGUUCGGAAUCACUGGGCGUAAAGCGCACGUAGGCGGAUGUGUCAGUCAGGGGUGAAAUCCCGGAGCUCAACCUCGGAACUGCCUUUGAUACAGCACGUCUUGAGUCCGAUAGAGGUGGGUGGAAUUCCUAGUGUAGAGGUGAAAUUCGUAGAUAUUAGGAAGAACACCGGUGGCGAAGGCGGCCCACUGGAUCGGUACUGACGCUGAGGUGCGAAAGCGUGGGGAGCAAACAGG
rnacentral:rRNA from 1 species